rnacentral:rRNA from 1 species
ACGUAGGGGGCAAGCGUUAUCCGGAAUUAUUGGGCGUAAAGGGUGUGUAGGUGGUUUUUUAAGCGGGAGGUGAAAGGCAAUAGCUUAACUAUUGUAAGCCUUGCGAACUGGAAGACUUGAGGGCAGGAGAGGAAAGUGGAAUUCCUAGUGUAGCGGUGAAAUGCGUAGAUAUUAGGAGGAACACCAGCGGCGCAGACGACUUUCUGGACUGUAUCUGACGCUGAGGCACGAAAGCGUGGGGAGCAAACAG